UGCGAGAGAAGAGUGCAAGUAGUGGUAUACAGAAGUGGAAAGGAAACGGAGUAUAAACGUGUGCGCGAUGUGCGCGUUGUUCGAAUUUACUCGAACGCGCACAUUCCUGAGGUUAUUUCAGUUUACUUCGUAUCAAAUAUAAUCUGUUUCCUCUUGUUGAACCCUUUGCAAAACAACAUAUAUCACACAACAGGAUUUAUUUUCUCCUUUUAAUGGUCUCGCUGGUCUGGUCCAUCGACCUCGCGAUCAUCAUUUCAACCGCACUAGACCCAACAAACGCACCAGACGCAUCAGACUUCUCACACCCCCGAACGAUGAACUUGAACGAAAGGAGACUAGCGAACUAUGACACAGGGUCAGCUUUUCGAGGACACUGACAUCCAGUGUCUGGGAGACAUCGUAAAGCCUUUCUGUUUUUAUUUUCUUACCAAGACUAAAGCAUCGUUUAAAAUUAUUCUACUAUAUGUAAUAAUUUUAAAUUUUACUACGCAUUAAUUUAAUUUGAGUUUUGUUUUCUUCUUCUAACAUUUACAUCCAAUUGUAUGUUUAUAUUCGCGUUUUGGUGGAGUAGUUUCAAUGACGGCGUGGAUAGGAUAACCAGUACCUAUGUGACAAGUUUCAGUACAAUACAUUCCCGGUGGGCAAAUAUUUUGCCAAGGAGAUAUAUGUGAAAUCGAAGGAAAUGUUGCAACAGUUGAUAAAUUACUAUACGCUUCCAUCUCUGACUUCGUACUUGGUUGAUAAUUUUCACUGUAUUCACUUUUAAAAGCUCUGGAAAAUAUAUUACUUUACAUUUA